rnacentral:lncRNA from 1 species
UCGGUAAAAUUCCUUCCUCUUACAAAAUCCAGCUCACCCUGCACAGUCAACCUAAUUGUCACCGAAUAUAGGAGAAUGGGGAAACUAGGAUUUGCGUGUUCAAGGGCGGACAAGCCAGUCCAAACAGGCAUUCCAGUCACUGGGUGGGUGACAGCCAAAGAAGGAUCCACCUGGUCACAUCCCAAUUUCCCCAGGGCAUCCGAAGCAGGUCUGAGUAGCCAAGGAUAACUACUUAGUCUCCUGCUAGAAAAUAUCUCAG